rnacentral:tRNA from 1 species
AAUAAGAUGCCUGAAGAUUAAAAGGACUAUUUUGAUAGAAUAGAACAUGUAUUUAUUAUACUCUUAUUA